rnacentral:tmRNA from 1 species
GGGCUUGAUUUGGCUUCGAUUGUAACUUAACAGUGAUGCUCCCGGCAAAACAAAUAAGCGUCAAAUAUAUUCGCAAUUUCGUUCAGUCUGUUGUUCAGUCUAUUAAGACUUUUUUCGGUCAGUCGUUUUCUUUUCAACCUGCAUAUUAAGCAGGAACGCCGGUAAUAGAUAAACUGCUCUAAUUAUAAGACGUGGGUUCGAUUCCCACCAAGUCCACUA